rnacentral:RNase_P_RNA from 1 species
UGAGACGGUUAUACGGUCGCGGGGCGUUUUUUGCGCCAUGAGGAAAGUCCGAGCAUCACAGGGCAGGACGCCUGCUAACGGCAGGUGAAGGCGACUUUAAGGAAAGUGCAACAGAAAUAAACCGCCGCUUUUUGCGGUAAGGAUGGAAAGGCGAGGUAAGAGCUCACC